rnacentral:rRNA from 1 species
GAUGAACGCUGGCGGCGUGCCUAAUACAUGCAAGUCGAGCGAACAGAUGAGGAGCUUGCUCCUCUGACGUUAGCGGCGGACGGGUGAGUAACACGUGGAUAACCUACUUAUAAGACGGGGAUAACUUCGGGAAAACGGAGCUAAUACCGGAUAAUAUAUUGAACCGCAUGGUUCAAUAGUGAAAGACGGUUUUGCUGUCACUUAUAGAUGGAUCCGCGUCGCAUUAGCUAGUUGGUAAGGUAACGGCUUACCAAGGCAACGAUGCGUAGCCGACCUGAGAGGAUGAUCGGCCACACUGGAACUGAGACACGGUCCAGACUCCUACGGGAGGCAGCAGUAGGGAAUCUUCCGCAAUGGGCGAAAGCCUGACGGAGCAACGCCGCGUGAGUGAUGAAGGCCUUCGGAUCGUAAAACUCUGUUAUUAGGGAAGAACAGAUGUGUAAGUAACUAUGCACGUCUUGACGGUACCUAAUCAGAAAGCCACGGCUAACUACGUG